GGGGCUAGUGGAUCGCCCUGGCCCCUGACGCCGGGGUGCGCCCACGUGGAGUAAGGGUGGGUGGGGUAAGGCGGCGGAACUGGCGGCGGCGUGAUUGGGGUGCGCCCAAGACGUGCCCCGGCCUGCGGCUGGGCGAGGUUCCAGACUCCGAAGGUAUUCUUUGCCUAAAGCUGCUGGCUGACUGCACAGAAAAUAAUAAAUGCCUUUGCUCCUUGUGUGGAUCUGCUGCUGGUUGGAGUGCAGCCCUGUCUUGAACACCAUGGAGCAUCGUUCAGAUUCCAGUUUCAUCUUGGCUGAGUGGUGCAAGAACUUAAAGACAUUUGCUUGAUAAGUCCGUCACUGCGCGUCUCGAACCCACUGCCUCGCUGGCCGCGGCAAGUGGCGCCCGA